GCCCCUAUAGCCCAAUUGGCAGAGGCAGACGGCUUAAAACCGUUUCAGUGUCGGUUCGAGUCCGACUGGGGGCACUA
rnacentral:tRNA from 1 species